UGCGGUGAAGUCAAACGGAGAGACGCCGGCCUCAUAAGCCGAGAAUAGCGGGUUCAAUUCCCGCCACCGCGCCCA
rnacentral:tRNA from 1 species